GAUGAAGAACGCAGCGAAAUGCGAUAAGUAAUGUGAAUUGCAGAAUUCAGUGAAUCAUCGAAUCUUUGAACGCACAUUGCGCCACUUGGUAGUCCGAGGGGCAUGCCUGUUCGAGCGUCAUUAUAACCCUCAAGCUCAGCUUGGUGUUGGGGCCUGCUGCACUGGCAGCCCUUAAAAUCAGUGGCGGCGCCAUCUGGCUCUAAGCGUAGUAAUUCUUCUCGCUAUGGAGUCCUGGUGGAUGCUUGCCAUCAACCCCCAAUUUUUCUAUGGUUGACCUCGGAUCAGGUAGGGAUACCCGCUGAACUUAAGCAUAUCAAUAAGCGGAGGA
rnacentral:misc_RNA from 1 species